rnacentral:sRNA from 1 species
AUGUCCCUCAGAUUUCAUCAUGUAUGGUUCCUAUUUCUGAAGCUGCAAGCUCGGUUGAAGAGGACAACCUUCCACGAUAGGAGGACUGGUGUUCAGUCAAAUGGUAUACCAGUAGCAGUACUUCCCUGAAAAUUUCAAAAUUUCCAAACAAGCUCUCAAGAUCAGGUAGCUUGAUUU